UCGGAGCCCUCAUCGGUGCAAUCAGUGGAAUCCUCUUGAUCUCCCCAAUGAAAAUUUUGAGUGUGUGCAAUGUUAGAAAUUAAUAAAAGGAAAAGAAAAAAAGGGAUCACACCCUUGGAUGGAGGGAGAGAGAGGAUGUGAUAGGAGAGAGUGACGUAAUGCUAAGAUGAAGAUGAGAAAAUGAAGGUCCACACCCCAAGGCGAAGAUCAGUAGCUGGUCCGAGAGGAUGAUCAGCCACACUGGGACUGAGACACGACCUAAACUCCUACGGGAGGCAGCAAUGGGGAAUUUUCCGCAAUGGACGAAAGCCUGACGGAGCAAUGCUGUGUGGAGGUAGAAGGCCCACGGGUUGUGAACUUCUUUUCCUGGAGAAGAAGCAAUGUCAGUAUCUGGGGAAUAAACAUCGGCUAACACUCUGUCAGCAGCCGCGGUAAUACAUAGGAA
rnacentral:ncRNA from 2 species